AGUGAACGCUGGCGGUAGGCCUAACACAUGCAAGUCGAACGGCAGCACAGUAAGAGCUUGCUCUUACGGGUGGCGAGUGGCGGACGGGUGAGGAAUACAUCGGAAUCUACUUUUUCGUGGGGGAUAACGUAGGGAAACUUACGCUAAUACCGCAUACGACCUACGGGUGAAAGCAGGGGAUCUUCGGACCUUGCUCGAUUGAAUGAGCCGAUGUCGGAUUAGCUAGUUGGCGGGGUAAAGGCCCACCAAGGCGACGACCCGUAGCUGGUCUGAGAGGAUGAUCAGCCACACUGGAACUGAGACACGGUCCAGACUCCUACGGGAGGCAGCAGUGGGGAAUAUUGGACAAUGGGCGCAAGCCUGAUCCAGCCAUACCGCGUGGGUGAAGAAGGCCUUCGGGUUGUAAAGCCCUUUUGUUGGGAAAGAAAAGCAGCAGGUUAAUACCCCGCUGUUCUGACGGUACCCAAAGAAUAAGCACCGGCUAACUUCGUG
rnacentral:rRNA from 1 species